AUUGAACGCUGGCGGCAUGCCUUACACAUGCAAGUCGAACGCGAAAGCGGGGGCAACCCUGCGAGUAGAGUGGCGAACGGGUGAGUAACACAUCGGAACGUACCCAGGAGUGGGGGACAACCUCGAGAAAUCGAGGCUAAUACCGCAUACGUCCUGAGGGAGAAAGCGGGGGAUCGCAAGACCUCGCGCUCAUGGAGCGGCCGAUGUCCGAUUAGCUAGUUGGCGGGGUAAGAGCCCACCAAGGCGACGAUCGGUAGCUGGUUUGAGAGAACGACCAGCCACACUGGGACUGAGACACGGCCCAGACUCCUACGGGAGGCAGCAGUGGGGAAUUUUGGACAAUGGGGGCAACCCUGAUCCAGCCAUGCCGCGUGAGUGAAGAAGGCCUUCGGGUUGUAAAGCUCUUUCGGCCGGAACGAAAUCGGGUACGUGAAUAACGGAUCUGGAUGACGGUACUGGAAGAAGAAGCACCGGCUAACUACGUGCCAGCAGCCGCCGUAAGAC
rnacentral:rRNA from 1 species